rnacentral:rRNA from 1 species
CGUAGGGUCCAAGCGUUAUCCGGAAUCACUGGGCGUAAAGCGUGCGUAGGCGGAUGUUUAAGUGAUAUGCGAAAUCUUAUGGCUCAACCAUAUAGACUGUAUAUCAUACUGGGCAUCUAGAGGAUGGCAGAGGCAAGUGGAAUUACUGGUGUAGCAGUGAAAUGCGUAGAGAUCAGUAGGAACACCAAUGGCGAAGGCAGCUUGCUGGGCCACACCUGACGCUGAGGUACGAAAGCGUGGGGAGCGAACAGGAUUAGAUACCCUGGUAGUCCACGCCGUAAACGAUGGAUACUAUUAGUAUGGAGUAUCGACCCUCUGUGCUGAGAAGCUAACGCGUUAAGUAUCCCGCCUGGGGAGUACGAUCGCAAGAUUA